rnacentral:rRNA from 1 species
ACGAACGCUGGCGGCGUGCUUCACACAUGCAAGUCGCACGGAAAGGCCCUGCUUUUGUGGGGUGCUCGGGUGGCGAACGGGUGAGUAACACGUGAGUAACCUGCCCUUGACUUUGGGAUAACUUCAGGAAACUGGGGCUAAUACCGGAUAGGAGCUCCUGCUGCAUGGUGGGGGUUGGAAAGUUUCGGCGGUUGGGGAUGGACUCGCGGCUUAUCAGCUUGUUGGUGGGGUAGUGGCUUACCAAGGCUUUGACGGGUAGCCGGCCUGAGAGGGUGACCGGCCACAUUGGGACUGAGAUACGGCCCAGACUCCUACGGGAGGCAGCAGUGGGGAAUAUUGCACAAUGGGCGGAAGCCUGAUGCAGCAACGCCGCGUGCGGGAUGACGGCCUUCGGGUUGUAAACCGCUUUCGCCUGUGACGAAGCGUGAGUGACGGUAAUGGGUAAAGAAGCACCGGCUAACUACGU